rnacentral:misc_RNA from 1 species
GGCCACCGGCCUCACCCUCCAUGCCGUCGACUACCUCAAUUUCCUACCAUUUUCAUCUCUCGAUUAUUUUCCCUUUCUUCCUUCCUUCACUUUCCCAACAAAUUUAGGGUUGCAAUCCACGCCGCUUUUGGCUCCUCUUGCGCAAUCUCCACAGUUCGAUUUGUCUCUUCAACUUACUGAUUAGUUUAUCUCUAAUUUUUUUGUUUUUCGGUUGGUUUCUUCCUGUCGCAGAUUGCUUUCAUCGUUGCAGAUUACAACGAUUCCAUGCGGAUGCUGCUGGUGGACUCCAAGGAGUAUGGCAAACUGUUUGAGGUUUGUCGCUUCGUUCUCCGUGGGCCCAUGGCAUUUCAAGUAAUCUAAUGUACUCGAAAUUCCUUUGAAAAUAAGCUCAAUUUUCUUGAAAGAUCAUAGUUCUUGUGGAUGGUCGUUACAUUAAAUUUAGGAAUCAAGAACAUAGAAGUAAAUAGCGUGCACAACUAAAAAUUUCAUUGAAAAUAAUAUUGAAGCGAAUACAACGGCCCUAAGGGGAGGUCUCUGCAAUUGCAACCAAAACUGAGCCCUAACCCCUUUCCCUUGAAACCCUCCUUCAUUUCUUCCCAAUGACAAAAGGUUUCUUCCUUCUUAAGGUUGCCUACCAAGGCAAUUACGCUUCGAUGCCAAGUUUUGCUUUCAGCCCUGCUGCCACAGCAUCAAUGAAUUCUUCAGUAUUGAGAUACUGGUCCCGAGUAACCUUGGGUCCAUGAAUAAUCAAUGCAAGAUCCUUGGUCAUCUUGCCAGACUCCACUGUUUCAAUACAUGCUGCUUCAAGCUUCUGGGUGAAAUCCAAGAGUCUAGCAUUGUCAUCCAACUUAGCCCUGUGUGCAAGACCUCGUGACCAAGCAAAGAUAGAAGCUAUACUGUUUGUGCUGGUUUCACCACCUUUCUGAUGAACCCUGUAAUGUCGAGUAACAGUACCAUGGGCUGCCUCUGCUUCAAUAGUCUUUCCAUCGGGACACACCAGUACAGAUGUCAUCAACCCAAGAGACCCAAAUCCUGAGCCAAUGAAAAUAUAUGUUAAAGAAAUAUAAUCAAAGGUAUUAAAUUUCAGACAACACCACCCACAGAACAAACAUCUUUUCCAUUUAGCUUCCAUAAGAAAACCAAAAAAAGGAAAAAUGCACAAAAUGCAAGGUUUGAGUGAUUUCUCAGUUUAUAACCACUGAAAUAGACCUUGGGCUAAGAAAUCACUCUGAACAUCUCCAUCAUAAUUUUUGCACGCCCAUACAUAACCUCCUUCACUUUUGAGGGCAUAAGCAACCAUAUCAUCAAUUAGACGAUGCUCAUACCUAGAAAUUCAGCAAUGUAAGACAAUGACAAAUUGCUAAAACUGGCCAAACAACCAGCAUUCUAAGUAAAUUACUCACCAUAUUCCGGCAGCCUCAUACUUUGACUUCCAGUUGGCCUCAUAGACUUCCUGAAAAAUGUCCUUGAAUCUUCCAUCAUACUUCUUAAGGAUGGUAUUUUUUUGUGCUAAGAUAAAGUGGCCAUUUUUUCAGGUAAGCUGUGUUCAUAGAGGCCUCAGCGAAAGCACGGAUUGACUCAUCAGUGUUAUACAUCGAUAAUGCCACCCCCCCAGCACCUGUAAAGUUGAAAACCUCUAACUCUGUCUUCUCGUCCUGUCCUUCAGGUACAAAAACCAACUUGAGUUUGCCAGCGCCUUUAAUAACUGUAUCAGUUGCUCGAUAUUGAUCACCAAAAGCAUGCCUUCCAAUGCAAAUUGGCUUUGACCAACCAGGGAUAAGCCGGGGGACAUUCUUGCAAAUAAUAGGUUCUCUAAAAACAGUGCCAUUUAAAAUGUUCCUAAUUGUGCCAUUUGGACUUUUCCACAUCUGCUUCAAGUUAAACUCCUUCACACGAGCUUCAUCAGGAGUUAUUGUUGCACACUUAAUUGCAACAUUGUACUUAAGGGUAGCCUCUGCACUUUCAACUGUAACUUUAUCAUCAGUGGCAUCACGAUGAGGAAGGCCAAGGUCAAAGUAUUUUAUGUCCAACUCCAAAAAGGGGAAAAUAAGCUUAUCCUUGAUUGAUUUCCAGAAAACCCGAGUCAUUUCAUCUCCUGUGUCACAAUAACAAAAAAGAUAGAUUAAAAAAAGAAAGGAAGAAACAAAGAUGUUAGCAAACAACUUCAAAUUCAAAGAAAAUUCCAAUUAUCUUUCUACAAUGCCCAUGGAUUUAUGGUUACAAGAUUGUUAAGCAAAGUGUCUCUCAGGUAUUAGAAUACGUCUGACAAAUCCAAUUUAUUCCGUUCUUCCGGCCACAAUUAUUUUGACAUGUUUACAAAUCUAUUAUUGUAUUUAGAUUCAUGUAUCUAAAAGGCUUAGAGCUAAAUAGUGGAUUUAUACUCCUAAAUCCAAAUUACUGUCCACAAAAUUACGAAGCCCAAAAUUAAAUAGGAAACAAGAAUAGCAUUCAAAAUGAUGUGAUUCUUGCAAUGUUCAAAUACCCGUGAAAGAAAUUGUCAACUUUUUUCAUCACUAGGUGACACAUUGAAAAUAAAGAAAAUGUGAAUUCACAUGCAGAACCUAAAACUAAAAGGAUUAACCAAUCCUUGACCACUACAUAUGCAGUCAUAGAUCAUCGUCUUGAGGAUCUGAAAAGUAAUUUUAACUCCAGAAACAGAUCUCAAGUAAAAACUUCAGCUGUACAGAUUCAAUUUCCAUUGCCAUAUACAAGAAAAAAGUUUAAAACAGUAAAGAAAUAUUGCUGCUUGAAGCUUAUAUGUUUUUACCAAAGAAAAUAUCUAUGUUCAAAGCAGAUCUUAAAGCAAAGAGGACCCACCAACUUUUUUGGAAGAAAAAUAGAUUCAAGAAUAUCCAAAUCUAAGUAAUAUUAGAGAUCAAACUUUAGCUAUCCAUUUGGCUCAAAGAAAACCCAUCAAGAAUAUAAAGAGGUAAUCCAUGGGAGCUAACUACAGCAAUGUCAACUAAAAUUAGAACAAUAACAAGAACAAUCAGAAAGAUGAAAGAUCAAAACCAGUAAUAAUGAAUAAAGGGAAAGCUCACCAUCCAUCUCAACGAUUGGGUUGGCGACUUUGAUCUUCUCAAAAGCCAUAAUCGAUAUUUUCCCUUUCUUUUAUCUUGUUUUCUGUUAUUAAAAGGAAAUGGGUUUUGAUUGUAAAGAUGAAAAGGGACGAAGAAAGAAAUGCUAGAACAUGAGAAGGAAGAGCUUCUGCUGAUAAGGUUUAGAGGCACAGAUGAAAGCGGUGCGUGAUGGAGUUAGGUGGGUGAAUAGCAGAGAGAGCUGCCGGCGGUCAGUUUUAUAUAUAAAUAUAAUAUAUUACAUAAAUAUAUUACAUAUGCGCUGUACUGUAUGACAUUAAAAUUGGAGAUUCUUCCUUCUUUUUUUUUUAAAU